rnacentral:rRNA from 1 species
AUUGAACGCUGGCGGCAGGCCUAACACAUGCAAGUCGCACGAGUGGCGGACGGGUGAGUAAUGUCUGGGAAACUGCCUGAUGGAGGGGGAUAACUCCUGGAAACGGUAGCUAAUAACGCAUACCAUCAGAUGUGCCCAGAUGGGAUUAGCUAGUAGGUGAGGUAACGGCUCACCUAGGCGACGAUCCCUAGCUGGGCUGAGAGUAUGACCAGCACAACUGGAACUGAGACACGGUCCAGACUCCUCAGGGAGGCAGCAGUGGGGAAUAUUGCACAAGGGGCGCAAGCCUGAUGCAUCCAUGCCGCGUGUAUGAAGAAGGCCUUCGGGUUGUAAAGUACUUUCAGCGGGGAGGCGUUACCCGCAGAAGAAGCACCGGCUAACUCCGUGCCAGCCGCCGCGGUAAUAC